GCGGCGUCUCUGGUUGAUUGUGUUCGCUGUUGACUCGGAGAAGCGCGCUUGUUGAUUCUGGUUCUCUGUGCAUCUGCUGUCGGGGUCUCCCCCCGUACCCCACCCUUUAAACAUGGGGGGCCUUGGCGCAGAGGUUUGUCUGCUUCCAAACAUAUUGAUCUUCCGCUGAAGGGGAAAAACAUUAGCAAUAGCGAGUGCUUGGGUGGGGGCUGGAGGAGGGUAAAUAGCUUAGGUUUAUCAAACUAAACCAAUGGUUAGAUUAUAAAACUAAACCAAUGGUUAUGAUUAUACAAACUAAACCAAUGGUUAGGAUUAUAAAAGCUAAACCAACGGUUAGAUUUAUAAAACUAAUGGUUAUGUUUAUCAAACUAAACCAAUGGUUAUGUUUAUCAAACUAAACCAAUAGUUAUGUGUAUUAAACUAAACCAAUGGUUAUGUUUAUCAAACUAAACCAAUGGUUAUGUGUAUUAAACUAAACCAAUAGUUAUGUUUAUCAAACUAAACCAAUGGUUAUGUGUAUUAAACUAAACCAAUAGUUAUGUUUAUCAAACUAAACCAAUGGUUAUGUGUAUUAAACUAAACCAAUAGUUAUGUUUAUCAAACUAAACCAAUAGUUAUGUUUAUCAAACUAAACCAAUAGUUAUGUGUAUUAAACUAAACCAAUGGUUAUGUUUAUCAAACUAAACCAAUGGUUAUGUGUAUUAAACUAAACCAAUGGUUAUGUUUAUCAAACUAAACCAAUGGUUAUGUUUAUCAAACUAAACCAAUAGUUAUGUGUAUUAAACUAAACCAAUAGUUAUGUUUAUCAAACUAAACCAAUGGUUAUGUUAUGGUCACGUGGGUGCAUUUAUCGCGUGCGUCCGCCAACAAUAAAGCUCCUAAUAGACUUUCCAUUGGCAUUAUUUUUGUGCUGACCGUCACAAAAGACCCCCCCUCCCCUCCAGACAAUUCGUGUCCCAGGACACAAAACCGCAGAUUGCUUUUCGUGACAAUCUCCCGAGCAGACAGGGAACGGCGCCGAGCAGCCGAGCACACAGAAGCCCGGCCAGGAGAAGGAGUCCCGCAUAUGAAUAUUUAACAGUAGCCUCUCUGCAGCGGCGGAGCCUGCCAGUCAUUGUCAAAUAGGACUUAAUCUUUUCAAUUUCUGGGUGCAAAUAUUCACACUGGCCGAUGUUUGUUGCCCAGAUUAAUGAGGCUCUCUGCCCAUAAUCCUCUGCUGCUAAUUCAAGUGGCCGCCGGUGCGGUUAGCCAGGGGAGGACGGGAUGCUGAGAGCACAUACAUAGCCGAGAUUACCCUCCCUCCCUCCUCCCUCCUCCCCCCCCUUCUGACCAGUCUUCCCAUCUCCCCCGUGGCUCCGGACUGGUCCAGCCUCUUUGUCUGCAGGCAGCUGACCGACGGCUGGGACGGUGUUUGGGUGCAUGUGAUCAUUUGAUCGGGACCCUGAAAUCAUUUCUAUUGUGUUUGUUUACAUCUUGUAGCAGGAGUUAUGUAAUCAGCUGUUUUGUCCGUGUAACCGGCAGUAAUCCGGCUGGCUUCCUGCCCAGUGAGCCUUAAAGCAGCGCAGAAACAAAUGUUUAAAUAGUUUAAAUAUCUCCAGUAAUGUUUAUUUUCUAGAGCCUCAACUGUUUUUAACAUUUAGUGGAAGGGAGAAUUCAAUUCGGUAAAUAUCCACGUAGAAAAUGUGUUGAUUGAAUGUAAUAUUGAAGAUUUCGGGUCAACUGGGACAGUUUGGGGUAGACUUUGCUCUUUACGGUGUGUGAAGUCUAACUGAAGUGAUAAAGUGAGAGAAUUGAUUAAAAACCAAGUUAUCCUGUUAAAGAAACUCUUGGCACUCUAUUGCUUAAACCCUCUGGGUGAUGCUUUUGCAUCAUGUACGUGAAAACCAAUAUUUGUUUCCUUCAGUUUAAUACAAACUUCAUCCACUCUCCCAUUUUUCCUUCAUUUACAGGAUUAAGGGAACUUCCCGUCCACCAAAUACAGCGGAACAGUCGUUGGAGGAAUAAAGGGUGGUUAAAAUUCCAUGAAUUAAAAGCUUAAUUGUUUGAUUAAAUGCAAAAAAUCAUUAAAUUACUUCAAGAUAAUUUAACAUCAAGUCCAGCCUCAAUAUAUUCAGACAUUUGACGUCUCUGUUUGCGUCUCUUUGUGCUGCUUUUACACUGAAUUUACAGACUUUUGUAUUCCUGCGUCUUCGAAUCAAUAUUCUGUUUUUAUUUCUCUUAUUGUCAGAUUUUCUCCAAGAUUUCUCUCAUUCUUCUCUUUUGCUCUGCAUUAUAUUCUGACGUCGAGACCCCGUAAACAGAGAGCGAACUGGACACAGCUGGGAUCACACAGUGGAACAAGAAACCUCUUCAAAUUGAUCUGAAAGACCCUCAUAAAAACACCCACAGAAAACACCAAGAAUCCUCUGCAUUCAUCUCUUUUAUUGCCAUAUGUGUGUAACUGCGAGUAGUCGCACACCCAUAGAGUGCAAAAAUAAAUCAUGGUUAUUUACCUUGUUUCAGUGCAGGAAGAAGUGACUUGUGUUUGUAAAUUAAAAAUAGGUAAAGAAAAUAAAAAAACGGCCACAAAAAGAAAAAAAUCUGCAAAGCUUCUUUUUAGACAUUUCCUGUGGUUCACUAAUGUUUUAAGUCUUCUUCAAUACAGCAUGUUGUUCAUUUAGUAAAUGAUGGUCCCUUUAGGGUCAAACAGCCCAUAAAGCAGGGGGUGCUUUAGGGCGGGGCUUACUGUGAUUGACAGGUCUCUAACGGAGACGCAUACGGCGUCUUUACAUCCUCCUCAGUCCAGAGUCACUUCGGCUGACCGGGUUGCAAAAAAAACAAGGCGGCGACGGCCAAAGCGCUGAAGUUGAGGCUUCAAAACCUCCACGAACCCGUCGGUGACGUCGCGGCGACCUCGUCCACUUCUCGUACGCGCAUGUUGACGUUACCAUCGAGCCCCUAAAGGAGGAAUGACAUUCCCUCCAUGAAGAUGCAUCCAACACCAAAAAGAGAAAGUCUCGGUGUGAGACGCGACCUCCUCGAGGUGGCCGAGACGAGGCCAAAGGUCAACGCCGCACACACACACACACACACACACGUCUCACUGCCGCCCCAGAGGUGUUAAUUCCCCCAGUCAGCCGCCUCCACCCCUCCGAUGUCCCUCCGGUUUUCCCUCCCGGGAAACGAUGCCAAUCCCUCUCUUCUCUCCCGGCUACCAACCAGAGCUCUUUAACUAAAAGCACCUUCCAGCCAUCGCUCGGCCCAUUAGUGGCGGCAGAUGGGGGGGGGGGGGGCCGGGUCCUGGCGGCAGCGUGUGACCCUACCUCGAUUUAUAGAGUAGGUGAGGGCAAAGGUGCAACGGGCCCCCGCCCCCUUCAUUACCUCAUUAGGAUUGCCCACAGUGAGAGGUGGUCUCGCUCAUUAUAAACCCGACGACAGGGGCUGACCUCCACGCCGCGCGGGCCCUGCGGCCGCUGCUUCUAACCCGCCGCGACCGGCGCCGCCGCCGCCGCCGCCACAAACUGUCUUUUCCCUCCUUUCUAAUCACACCCGGAGUCACACCACUUCGCCCAGCGCUUGGCUGCAGGAGAGGAAGUCCACCUGGUGAGAGGCCGAGGCGUAGCGGUGGGCUGCAGUGUGAGGAGCGCGUGUGUUUGUUUGUGCGUGAUGUGCUGGGGGGGUGAAGGUGGGUGGGGGGGCAGAAUGUUUGAAUUGGUUCUUUUUACUUCAGGUAUUUGACAUUCCUGCUGGAUGUUUGUUUCUCGUCCUUCUCAUCGCGACACGUCCUCACAUUUCUGUGCACAUUCCUGGUGAGCCGCCGCGCUUUGCACAAAAGGAGUUUUAGUUCAAAACCAAUUCAGAGGAGAAAAGCUGAAAGCGCGC
ensembl:lncRNA